UAUUUGGAGUUUUUUUUAUCUUAUUGGAUGUGGCUCUCAUCCUUGCUAACCUAAUUUUCACUGAUAGCAAAGUUUAUAUUCCUUUGGAUUAUCAUUCUAUUUUUUCUAGCUAUUGCCUUAUUUUUUCUCAUGAAUGGUCUUCUUCGAGUAUUUGUAGAAGGGAAGUCGUGCAGUUUCUAGACAAGAAGCAUCCAAACCACUAUCAAGUCUACAAUCUAUGCAGUGAAAGAGCUUAUGAUCCUAAGCACUUCCAUAUUAGGGUCAGUAGAAUCAUGAUUGAUGAUCAUUAUGUCCCCACUCAUCAGUAAGAUGGUGGUAUUCUCCAAGGAAGUAAAUGAGUGGAUGACUCAAGAUCCUGAAAACAUCAUAGUGAUUCACUGUAAAGGAGGCAAAGGCGAUGGAUAUGAUCUAAAAGUCAAAAUAGUGAUGGAGAAAAAGGUUGUCUUUUCCUGUACUUACUUAAGAAAUUGUUAGGUAAGAGAAAACACGUGAAUUGAAAAAAAUCUGAUGUUUAAACAGAGCAAUAAUUGAUGUAUUCAACAGUCCACCUCUGUAUGAUGAUGUGAAAGUGCAAUUUUUCUCUUUGGAUCUUCCUAAAUACUAUGACAAUUGUCCUUUUUUCUUCUGGUUUAACACACCUUUUAUACAGCUUAAACCACAAAGAAAUGAAUUGGAUAAUCCACAUAAACAAAAGACAUGGAAAAUUUACGCACCAGAAUUUGCAGUAG
rnacentral:lncRNA from 1 species